AGAGCUUUUGCAGGGCUUGAAGAACAGGCCUCAUUUAACAAACAGCUCCUUUCCUUUCCAUCUUCAUCACCAACACAGAGGAAGGGGUCAGAGAAUAAUUUUCUAUGAAAAUGCCUAACUUCAAUUUUCAAACAGUUAUCCCAUCACAGCGCUAACCUAGGGCUCAUCAUUGUCCUCCUCAUGGUGCUCAGACCCUGCCAAGGAUGCCAGACACCCUCGGGAGGUGAGAACCUAGGUGCUGCUUGGCUCCGGCUGCAUGAAGGAUCUCAAGUGGGACAUGAGCAGCCCUGUGGCCCUGUGCUGAGGCCAGGCUGCUCCAUCCCACCCAGCACAGGAGGUGAGCACACCUGAGUGCUUCCAACAGAUUUCAUGGAGCUGUGGCGCUUGUGUUAACUCCAGCCCAUCCCGCUGACUCCCCACGCACAUGCUGCCUUCCCAAGAAGAGCUCAGUUCUCCCUGGAGCUGCAGUUCACCCUCAUGAAGGAAGCAGUGAUGUUGACACAAAACCUGGUUCAGCCCACACUGGCUCUUUCCUAGAGCAACAGCCCUUGUCCAUCGGUUUUCUUAGGCUCCAGGAGCACAACUUCUUUGUACAGUGUGUUACAGGAGUGCCAGCACAGACACAGGGUGCAGGACAGCAUUACCGGGCACCUGGCAGCAUGGCUCUGUGUUUCAGCACUGCAGCUCCGUGUGCCACCAGGCAUGGUGCCACCGGUCUGUCUGGGUUUCACACUGCACUUUGGGCCAGAAGGAUCUGAUUGAAGCCCCGCUGUAAAGCAGGGCUCCAGGCAAAGCCCUCUGCCCCAGGGGCUGAACCCAACAUCUGCAGGAGUCUUUACGCCACACACGUAUGGCAUUAGGCCGUUCCCUCCUGCCCUUGAAUCGAUGGAGCACGGCUGUUCAGGUGCACAUCUGGAGCCUUGCAACAUGAUGGCGAGCCCACAGCAGCCUGCCCACGCAUAACCUGAGGCAUUUCCCUCAUGCUUUGGGAAGAGCAGGGCCUGUCACAGGCUCGCUCCAACAGCCAUUGCACGCUAGGGCUGGGAGGCAGCAGUAGGCUCCUGUCCUCUCCUUUUCUCAGGUGCUCCUGUGCUGGCCACAUCAGAGCAGGCCUCCCACAUACCUCCUCUGAGAGAAAAGCUCUGUGCAAGCCUCCACGCCCUCCUGGUUUUCAUCGUGGGAGCCUCCUUGCCUCCUACACAGGCACGGCCACGUAGGGGUUGGAAACAAGGAGCUUUCCAAAAGGCAGAGCCCCCACUUCGUCCUUUCACCAGUGCCCGAUGCCGAGGCAGUCUCAGAGCCUUACAGGGGAGAGGUGACCGCAGAGGGAAGCCAGGCAGCAGCCGAAGCCCCCUCUCAUGGGGCCAUGGCACAGCCUGGCACCUGCCCCAGAAAGCGCAUGUCUUUCCACAGACAUUAGCCUUGCCUAUCCACCACAUCACCUCCUCAUCCAGGCUUCCCAAGUUUGCAAAUACUGAAUGAAAGCAGCCGGGGAAAAGACUUUUUUUAAACAAAGCGCUGUUUCAGACAUUAAUUCCAGCUCCGGGUAAUGAGAAGCUUUGCUGCGAACAGACUCCGCAAGCAGUUCAAAGCCUGGCCUCUCCCUCCCGCUCUGCUUUGUGGUGUUAAAAGUUGUGUUUCACGGCGUUGGAGCACUACCAUCUGCUGCGCCCCGUUCAUUAUGCACCGAGUCACGCCGGUCAGCUCCCGGCAGAAAGCUAAGACAGAGGUAAACUAGUAUUUGAAAACAAAGGAGGGCUCUCUCCAUCCUAAUUAGCGGCAGGUUGCAGAGUGCAGCGGCGGAAGGCGAAGGUCACUUCCCACAAGGCUCUGCUCAGGAUGCCAAAACACCCACUUAAUUCAAGCGGCUCAGCGGGCAGAGUCAGACCAGAGCAAUUACGCUCCCUGGAUUUCCCUAAGGAAGGUUUUAACAAUGCAACUCUUAGAAAAAAGAUUACUGCAGGAGCUCUUUAUUCUGCCACCUUGGAGCAGGAGGAAGUGCGGUGUACCCUGCUACUGACUCUAGGAAUGGCUCUCUCUUUGUGCCUCUGCACUGGGAGGCAAGCUUGGGAUUUCUAUUUCAUUUUUUAAAAGAAAUGAAUAGGAGCAAAUUUUAACAUUUAAAAAAUGAGGACUAAGAAUCCUGCAAACUCUAAGACCCUUUGUACUGAGCUGAAUUCCCUCUGAACACUCCAGGUCUCCUUCCAGGUGCUACCAGGAGGAAUUAACCUUUAAAAAACCACCUGGGCAUGAACUCAGGGAGCGUUCCUGGGAGCCACUGCCUGCCUGGCCCAGCCCAGGAGUUCCUUUAAUUUCUGUUACCCGACUCACAGCAGCCCAUCCACCUCACAGCGACAGCUCUCCCACAAAGUCAAAGCAUCACUUUUAACCCAGACCAGCAUCUCCUUGCACAUGCCCUGGGUGCUGUUUGUCCACGCUUGCCCUCCUGUUCGCACCUCUCAGCUCCGUGGUGCUGUGCCUCUCCCUUCCAAAGGAUCUGUGCAGCUGUUGACAUCUGCUGCUGAUGGCAGGAGUAUUUUCCAGGGAUGUUCCAUAUGAACCCAAAGGAAUCGUCCAUCCUCCCCCUUCCAGA